rnacentral:rRNA from 1 species
ACUUGGGUAGGGGAGCGUCGUAUAUAGGUUGAAGUCAGACCGUAAGGACUGGUGGACGGUAUACGAGUGAGAAUGCCGGUAUGAGUAACGAAAAGACAAGUGAGAAUCUUGUCCGCCGAAAGCCUAAGGGUUCCUGAGGAAGGCUCGUCCGCUCAGGGUAAGUCGGGACCUAACGCGAGGCCGAAAGGCGUAGUGGAAGGACAACAGGUUGAUAUUCCUGUACCACCGAAGAUUGUUUGAGCAAUGGGGUGACACAGAAGGGCAGUGACGCGGGCUGAUGGAAUAGCCCGUCCAAGCAGUGAGGCUAGUCGGUAGGCAAAUCCGCCGACUGUUAGGCUGGGCUGUGAUGGGGAGCGAAAAUUGCAGUAGCGAAGGUCAUGUACUCCGGCUGUCGAGAAAAGCCUCUAGUUAGAUCUAGGUGCCCGUACCGCAAACCGACACAGGUAGGCGAGCAGAGCAUGCUAAGGCGCGCGGAAGAACUCUCGUUAAGGAACUCGGCAAAAUGACCCCGUAACUUCGGGAGAAGGGGUGCCUCGGUAGGGUGAAUAGCCCGAGGGGGCCGCAGUGAAAAGGCCCAAGCGACUGUUUAGCAAAAACACAGGUCUGUGCGAAGCCGUAAGGCGAAGUAUACGGGCUGACGCCUGCCCGGUGCUGGAAGGUUAAGGGGAGCGGUUAGGGGCAACCCGAAGCUGUGAACCGAAGCCCCAGUAAACGGCGGCCGUAACUAUAACGGUCCUAAGGUAGCGAAAUUCCUUGUCAGGUAAAUUCUGACCCGCACGAAUGGCGUAACGACUUGGGCGCUGUCUCAACGAGAGAUCCGGUGAAAUUUUAAUACCUGUGAAGAUGCAGGUUACCCGCGACAAGACGGAAAGACCCCAUGGAGCUUUACUGCAGCUUGAUAUUGGACUUUGGUACGAUCUGUACAGGAUAGGUGGGAGCCUAGGAAGCCGGAGCGCCAGCUUCGGUGGAGGCGCCGUUGGGAUACCACCCUGAUCGUAUCGGAGUUCUAACCUGGCACCGUGAAACCGGUGCGGGGACCGUGUCAGGCGGGCAGUUUGACUGGGGCGGUCGCCUCCUAAAAUGUAACGGAGGCGCCCAAAGGUUCCCUCAGAAUGGUUGGAAAUCAUUCGAAGAGUGCAAAGGCAUAAGGGAGCUUGACUGCGAGACCUACAAGUCGAGCAGGGACGAAAGUCGGGCUUAGUGAUCCGGUGGUACCGAAUGGAAGGGCCAUCGCUCAACGGAUAAAAGCUACCCUGGGGAUAACAGGCUUAUCUCCCCCAAGAGUCCACAUCGACGGGGAGGUUUGGCACCUCGAUGUCGGCUCAUCGCAUCCUGGGGCUGAAGUAGGUCCCAAGGGUUGGGCUGUUCGCCCAUUAAAGCGGUACGCGAGCUGGGUUCAGAACGUCGUGAGACAGUUCGGUCCCUAUCUGUCGCGGGCGUAGGAAAUUUGAGAGGAGCUGUCCUUAGUACGAGAGGACCGGGAUGGACGUACCGCUGGUGUACCAGUUGUUCCGCCAGGAGCACCGCUGGGUAGCCAAGUACGGACGGGAUAAGCGCUGAAAGCAUCUAAGCGUGAAGCCCCCCUCAAGAUGAGAUUUCCCAGUAUGUAAGACCCCUUGAAGACGACGAGGUUGAUAGGUUCGGGGUGGAAGCACAGCAAUGUGUGGAGCUGACGAAUACUAAUCGGUCGAGGGCUUAUCCUA